rnacentral:rRNA from 1 species
CACGUAGGCGGUUUACUAAGUUUGACGUGAAAGCCCUCGGCUCAACCGGGGAAUUGCGUCGGAUACUGGUGGACUUGAGGUCGGUUGGGGUGAGUGGAACUCCUGGUGGAGCGGUGAAAUGCGUAGAUAUCAGGAGGAACACCAGUGGCGAAAGCGGCUCAUUGGACCGAUCCUGACGCUGAGGUGCGAAAGCUAGGGUAGCGAACAGGAUUAGAUACCCUGGUAGUCC